AAUGGUUGGGCCAUUUAGGAAAAUUAUUUUUAAAUGCUAAAAUUUCGUAUUUGAGCUAGGUUUACCCCAAUGCUCCCAAAAAAAUGUUUUGCACAUCUGGGAAUUUUUUCAGGAGCACCCUAAGCUUAGGUACUUGUUUUUCAUAUUUUCUUUCAUAAAAAAGUCAUAUUUACUAUAUUUUUUAAAAUAUCUUCUUUUGUUUAGGUUAAACAAGACCCAAGAAGAAUUGAUAGAAACAAAACACCAAUUAUCAAGUGCACAACGAGUGAGGUUUAUCAAUCAGAAAAAGUGGCAGGACGAAAUCCAACUUCAGAAACGACUGAGCGCCAAUACACAGCUGAAGGAGCACAUUGUGUUAAAUAUGGAGGCAGAACUAGAACAGGUCUCGCGUCUAAAUGAUCAAAUCGAAAAGUCGAUUCUGAAGAUGCAAUCAAAGGAAAC